rnacentral:rRNA from 1 species
UACGGAGGGUGCAAGCGUUAAUCGGAAUUACUGGGCGUAAAGCGCACGCAGGUGGCUGUGUCAGUCGAUUGUGAAAUCCCCGGGCUCAACCUGGGAACUGCAUUUGUGACUGCAUCGCUGGAGUGCGGCAGAGGGGGAUGGAAUUCCGCGUGUAGCAGUGAAAUGCGUAGAUAUGCGGAGGAACACCGAUGGCGAAGGCAAUCCCCUGGGCCUGCACUGACGCUCAUGCACGAAAGCGUGGGGAGCAAACAGG